rnacentral:ncRNA from 2 species
UUAAUGCAAGGUGAUGGUGUUCCACCUUUCCCAACCGCUUCCCUGAGAAGAUGAUGACGCCUGGUAUGUC